CCCUUAGAUGUUCUGGGCCGCACGCGUGCUACACUGAGUAAUUCAAUGGGUAAGGGAACGCUAGAGCAUUACCUAAUCUUGAAAUUUGCUCGUGAUGGGGAUCGACGGUUGCAAUUUUCCGUCGUGAACGAGGAAUACCUUGUAAGCGCGGGUCAUCAUCCCGCGCUGAAUACGUCCCUGCCCUUUGUACACACCGCCCGUCGCUCCUACCGAUUGAGUGGUCCGGUGAGGCUUUGGGAUCUGAGCGGAAAGAGCGUUUCGCUGUUUCUGCUCGGAAAACUCAGUCGAACCUUAUCAUUUAGAGGAAGGAGAAGUCGUAACA
rnacentral:rRNA from 1 species